rnacentral:lncRNA from 1 species
CGAGAGGGUCUUGAAGCAACUAGACCAAGAAGAAGGACACGCAGAUGCCAUUUGCUAUCAUGAGGUCUGUUUCUGUCAGCGGAAGAGUGGAGCUUCACGCCGUGACUGACAAGAUGCCUUGGCCAGCAAAGGUGAUAACUGAAAUUGAGCACUUGAAUGCCUGGAACCACAUAUCCAACCAAAGGCAGUCAUUGUCCUCUCAAAGCCGGUUCACUUGUUCUCAAGACACUUUAUGUGGAGCCACA